CCGAAAGGGGUACGUAAUACCGGAGUAUUCUUGCUUUUCUAUAAGUUAAUGCAAGCAAAGGUAGGGCCUCUGCAUAUGCUACUGCAUGAAGAGGGGUCUGCGUACCAUUAGCUAGUAGGUGGGGUAAUGGCCUACCUAGGCGACGAUGGUUAGCGGGUCUGAGAGGAUGAUCCGCCACACUGGCACUGGAACACGGGCCAGACUCCUACGGGAGGCAGCAGUGAGGAAUAUUGCGCAAUGGGGGAAACCCUGACGCAGCGACGCCGCGUGAGUGAGGAAGGCCUUCGGGUCGUAAAGCUCUGUCAAGAGGAAAGAAGUGUACAAUGGCUAAUACCUGUUGUAUUUGACGGUACCUCUAAAGGAAGCACCGGCUAACUCCGUGCCAGCCGCGGC
rnacentral:rRNA from 1 species